rnacentral:rRNA from 1 species
AUACGGAGAGGACUAGCGUUGUUCGGAAUUACUGGGCGUAAAGAGUUCGUAGGCGGAUAAGCAAGUAAGAGGUGAAAGCCCAGGGCUCAACCUUGGAACUGCCUUUUAAACUGCUUAUCUAGAGACCGAUAGAGGUUAGGGGAAUACCUAGUGUAGAGGUGAAAUUCGUAGAUAUUAGGUGGAACACCAGUGGCGAAGGCGCCUAACUCGAUCGGUACUGACGCUGAGGAACGAAAGCGUGGGGAGCAAACAGGAUUAGAAACCCUAGUAGUCC